rnacentral:rRNA from 1 species
GUUUGAUCAUGGCUCAGAUUGAACGCUGGAGGCGUGCUUAACACAUGCAAGUCGUGCGAGAAAGGGACUUCGGUCCUGAGUAGAGCGGCGCACGGGUGAGUAACGCGUGGGUAAUCUCCCUUGGUGAUCGGGAUAACAGCGGGAAACUGCUGCUAAUACCGGAUAAUCUUCAUGUUUAACUUCAUGGGGUAAAGGUGGCCUCUGCUUGCAAGCUACCACACCGAGAUGAGCCCGCGUCUCAUUAGCUAGUUGGUAGGGUAAUGGCCUACCAAGGCUACGAUGAGUAGCUGGUCUGAGAGGAUGACCAGCCACACUGGGACUGGAACACGGCCCAGACUCCUACGGGAGGCAGCAGUGGGGAAUAUUGCGCAAUGGGCGAAAGCCUGACGCAGCGACGCCUCGUGAGGGAUGAAGGUCUUCGGAUCGUAAACCUCUGUCAAGAGGAAGAAACCCUUGGAUUCGAAUAGGGUCCUUGGCUGACGGUACCUCAAAAGGAAGCACCGGCUAACU